UACGUAGGGUGCGAGCGUUGUCCGGAAUUAUUGGGCGUAAAGAGCUCGUAGGUGGCUUGUUGCGUCUGCCGUGAAAGCCCGUGGCUUAACUACGGGUCUGCGGUGGAUACGGGCAGGCUAGAGGCUGGUAGGGGCAAGCGGAAUUCCUGGUGUAGCGGUGAAAUGCGCAGAUAUCAGGAGGAACACCGGUGGCGAAGGCGGCUUGCUGGGCCAGUUCUGACGCUGAGGAGCGAAAGCGUGGGGAGCGAACAGG
rnacentral:rRNA from 1 species